GACAGGUGGCAAGUCCUCAGCCAGGCUCCUUGUCACGACUGCCUCACCACUACCACUGCGAGACAGAAAAUAUCCCAGCAAGAAUAAAUGGACAGGCACAGACCACCCAGAGAAAGGCUGGCAAAAAAAAAAUAGCCGUCCCUGACCUGUCCCUGAAAAUGACACCUGGUCCUUUGGGCUGCUGU
ensembl:lncRNA novel transcript